rnacentral:lncRNA from 1 species
AUAUGUCUUCACACAUAUAGUAACGCAUCUCGCUGCAUAACUCAGAUGAAACUCUUAUUUAAUUUGCUUAUACCUGUAAUAUCCCAUAAGAGAAAAUACUUCUCAAACCCUUACUAAGUUUGCAAUUGCUUAUUUAUGUUUUACCCAAGUAAGAAAAUAUUUUAGUCUUGAAAUCCUUCUUUAAAAUGAGUAAAGUUUGAAAUUGCUUCCGCAUAUUUUAGUCUUGAAAUCCUUCUUUAAAAUGAGUAAAGUUUGAAAUUGCUUCCGCUAAAACAAGAUGUAUUUCUAUUUCUUUCAUUAUUUCUUUUAUUAGUCGUACGAUACUUGGUAUACGCUAUCACUGGCUAUAUCGGGCUCCGACAUAACUAAACUAGGAGUCCUUAUUCCAUUAAAACACUAAGGAAAUUAACCCUUAAGCGGCCGAACACCCUAUCAUUCGUGGGUUUCGACCCUUCCAAAAAAACUAAAGCCCAAAAAUUAAUUAAAAGAGUAUUUGGCUUAAAUAAAUUACAAGAUAAAUAUUUCCAAAGCCCAAAUCUCUAAAUCUCUCCAAAAAUUCACCAACUUCUUCAACCAAUUUCUCGACUUUUAAUAAUUCUCCCAUCUUCAAGCUUUCUCCUCCAACCAUGCAAUCCCUACGCCAAAAUGUAACAAACCAUGUAAAAUCAUAUAAAAUAAUGGCGAAACAUACACCAAACUAAGUAGCUAAAAUACAUACAUCAAAUCCCCUCACACUUAGAUUAUAUUUGUCCUCAAGUAUGACAUGAAAGAAGAAUUUAAUGGUGAAAUCAGCCACUCGUGACAACCUCCUUCCUCGGUACGACACUUAAGACUCUAAAAACAAAGAACGAAACAACGGACACAACAACCAACUGGAAAGAAAACAGAAAGAAACAAAGACACCAACAACGACAAACUCAACUAAAAACGAUAGCCAAGUAAAUCAGCAAAACACUAGUAACAUGACACACCGCCAAAUCGAACCAUGUGACUCACAAUCGAUUCUCAACUCUCAAAUCAAGAAGAGGAAAUAUCAAACAAGUGUUUUCAUUGUCUAUCUAGUCCAAAUCAAGCAACAACAAAUUCCUCUCAAGAUUCACUAUUUAUUUUGAAAAUUCACACACAAGAAGAAAAAUUCACUUAGUCGUGAUAUGUCAUAGUCACAUAACAACUCAAGAAGGUCUUUUCUCAUUGGUUGUAAUGGGGCUAAGGACCAUUCAUUAUGUUGGCAAGAUCUUAGGGGUCCUAAGCUCAAGAAUUGAAAAUCAAAGUGUGCACAUCUAAUCCAAACCAUCAUCCACAAUUUCAAGUUCAUAGAGAAAGAAAGAAAGCUACUAAACUUAGGGGAAAAACUCCAAUAAUAACAAUGAUACUACAUGCUCAACUCAAACUGGUGCAACAUCUUUUUUUUUUUUUUUUUUUUUUUUUUUUUUUUUUUUUUUUGCAGCACCCUUCUUUUUUUUAUAUCCUCAAUCAACAUGCAAUCAUCAUCUACAAAAUAUCCCUACAAAUCGUCUCCCAAAACUGCUCCCAUCCCAA